rnacentral:rRNA from 1 species
UACGGAGGGGGCUAGCGUUGUUCGGAAUUACUGGGCGUAAAGGGCGCGUAGGCGGUUCGUUAAGUCCUGUGUGAAAUCCCCCGGCUCAACUGGGGAACUGCACAGGAAACUAGCGGGCUUGAGUUCGGGAGAGGGAAGCGGAAUUCCGGGUGUAGCGGUGAAAUGCGUAGAUAUCUGGAGGAACACCGGUGGCGAAGGCGGCAUCCUGGACCGGUAUUGACGCUGAGGCGCGAAAGCUAGGGGAGCAAACGGG